AUGCUCAUUUCGGCAACACAUAUACUAAAAUUGGAAUACAGAGAUUAGCAUGGCUCCUGCACAAGGAUGAUACGCAAAUUCAGGAAGCAUUCCAUAUUAAA
rnacentral:snRNA from 1 species